UACGCUUGUUGUUGACUUCUUAUAAGUUUUUCUUAAAAACUACUCAUUUAAAUAAUACUUCUAGCAAAGUUAUAAGUUUUUAUGUCCUAUAAAGCACUUUGUCAGUAACAUAAUGAAUCCUUAAAAACUAAUUUUAUUCUCUGUAUUAACUUGACAACCCUUAUUACUCUCUUCCCAUCUCCCUCCCUUACACUGCACACCAAGAGAAACCAAAACCGGUGUUGAUAAACGCCAAACAGCUGAGCGCCUUGACCGCACUUUCAAAUUAGAGAGCGCAACGUCCAAUUAGCAUUUCCUCAGUAUCUUUGUAUCUUUGUUUUUUUUUGUUUACAAAAUUGAUUCGCCCACUCGCAAGUCGAAUUCCCCAGAUUUUCACAGAACAACACCUUUGCGUACAUAUGUUCUCUUUAUCUCGACUGCUGCCUUUAUAUGGAAUCUGCUUAUCGACGGCAAAGAAAUGUUUGCCGCGCUUUUAUCGUAAUUGCGCUAAUUAGAAUCACAAUUGGGCCAAUUCGAUUUUGAUUCGUUGUAAACAGACUGCUAAUGGAAGUACAGUAUAUAUAGGGUAUAAGCUCUCGUCUGCUAAUUACCAAGGUAAAUAUUUUGAAUUGGAUACAACUAUGAUGGGGCAUCCGAGUAUUACUGCUUUCUCCCUGUUCGACAACCUUCACAAGGCCGUAGCGCCGCGAAAGACGUUCCACGGAUCAAUGGUUCCCGUAAAUUUACCGAAAAUGACAGAUAAUGACGAUGGGGCUUGCCGCACAACAUGUUAUCAUUAAAUCGCACUCGUAUCUCGGGACGCCAUUCGGUCGGGAUUCAUCCAUCCAAGCGCAUUACGCGCAUUCGUUCCGCAUUUCUCCUGCUGCCCGCUGCCACCCAACGCCCCCGGCCACUGCCACGCCCACACCUCCAGGACGACCUUGGUGCCGACCCCCUCAUUCAAUCAGAGGCGACUCAACAGAUUGCCUGUCGUUUGCCUGCCAGUGGAGCUGAAGCAAUUCCAAUUCAAUUUUAGCUGCGAUGACGAAGCCGGCGACAACGCUUGCUCCGACAGGGAUUUUCGCAUUUUUUUGUAAAAAAUUCGAAAUGGAAGCGGGAGUCGGCCGGGAGGUGGGCGUGGUGCCCGGCCGAGCACAUUGUAAGCAAUCAGCGCAGGAUGGGGGGCGGGAGAAAUCUCCAGCUGUCAAGCGGGGCUCCAGAUAAAAACUACCUCCCAUACAGGACGUACAGGACAUGCACACCAUUCACCACCGGAACGGACCCCCAGCCACGGUUAAUAUCAUCUCAGGCUCAGACUCUCGAACAAACAGGUUGUGCCAUAACCUUUCCACACUCGUGGUCAAGUGCUAGUAAAUUGACUGCCUCCGUUUAAACAAGCAACCGCUGUGAAAGACAUCGUAAGUGAAAUUGAACGCUUGGACUUACGGCAGAAAAAGAGGCGUUGAACCUAUGUGGCUUCGAUUGUGACAAUCCAGGCGGAUAAACAAUAUUUUGCUGGACUUAAAAUAUAACUAAAAAAAAUACCUUUAAAAAUCAA